CACACCCACAGCAUAUGGAGAUUCCCAGGCUAGGGGUCAAAUCAGAGCUGCAGCUGCUGGCCUAUACCACAGCCACAGCAAUGCAGGAUCCAAGCUGUGUCUGUGACCUUCACCACAAUGAAUGCACAGCAAUGCCGGAUCCCCAACCCUCUGAGCAAGGCCAGGGACGCAACCACAUGGUUCCUUAACGACUGAGCCACAACAGGAACUCUAGAACAUUCAUAUUUAAAUUUGGACCUUGGGAUAUGGCUUAAGAGAUGAUUUUCAACUUGGUGGUGCCAAGGCUGCAGGAUAUUUAGGCAUCUUUAUUGCUAUUUUUUAAAAUUCUAUUUAUUUUUGAAAUCUGUAUUAUCUCGCACUUCUGACCCUACUGGCUAAUCCACUCCCCCAACCAGUGAUCUGCUUGUAUGUUGUGUGGGUGUUCCAUACAGAGGAUGCUUGUGUCCUUUUCCUCAUACUCUGUGUACACAUGCCUGUAAACACCAAUUAUAUGCAAUAACGUAUUUUCUUUUUUAUGCUUUAACAUUAAAACUGCAACCCCUGCACCCUUACCCAGUGAAUGCCUCCUAUUUUUUCUCUUGCUAUCCAGUCCCAUCAACACUUAUCAUAGUAUAUAAUGUGCAGUUUACUUACAUUAUUAUCUUUUUUCUUGGUAGAAUGAAGCGCUCUAUGAGGGUAGAGAGUAUUUCUUCAUGUUUUAUUAUUAUAUACCUAAUAUAGUAAUAGGUGUAAAUAUUUGUUGAAUGAAUGAAUUCUAACAUGAUCUCCAAAUAAUUUUAUUAACUAGAUCAUUUGAUUUUAUAUAAUGCAAGUUAUUAGAAAGACUUGACCUGCAGUUGUAAGUGAAACAUUACAAGAAAAAAAUAAAUGCAAUUAAGGUCAGUAUAAAUUAACAUCUUUUAAAGUACUUUAAUUUUGCUUUGUUUUAUUUUUAUAAGAGAGAAUUUAGCAUCUGCAUUUUGUUUCACUUUUAUCGUUUUUUAAAAUUGAGAAGCAGUAGAAACCAUUAUGAAUAAAAGAUUAGGUGAUUAUAAGAUUGUGAAUCUAUAAUUCAUUAGAGCCUUCAUUUCCCUCAAUCUCUAAUAGUCAAAUGCUGAAUCUUCUUUAGACUAGUCCAAUAACUGCAAAUAAAUGGGAGGACUAAGCUAAUACUAUUAAAGUGUCACAGAAUAAGCAAAUCACCUUGGCUAUGUUUUAGGACAAAAUAGUCCAACUAUUCUAUGGCAGAGGAGGGCAUUACUGUAUAACAGAGGAUAGUCAAUAUGUAUUUGUACCCUUAACUUAUCAGAAAAACCAAAAAAUUCUCAUUUAAUCUCAUAGAAUACCAAAAAUAAUAUAAAAACUGUCAAAUAUUUUAAAUUUAAAAGAUUGAAAACUCAGUAUUACUUACCUGAAAGAAAAUCUUGUCUUAAUAUCGAUACAUAUUAUGCAAUGUGAUAUCUUAGAUAUUUGUGGUAUAUUUGUGUGUGUACAUAACAUUGUGCAUGCCUGUGUAUUUAAAAUGUUGCUAGGAAUUAGCAUGUUUUUAAAUGCAGAGAAGUGUUUCUGACAAUAAAAAUUUACAAGAUAAUUCCAUAAAUAUAAAUACUUCUUUAUUAUCAUAUUUAAAGUUUAACUUAGUUUUACUUAAAAACAUUUUUUUGUAUCAACUAUCAGGUUUUUUGCAAUCCA
rnacentral:lncRNA from 1 species